UACGUAGGGUGCGAGCGUUAAUCGGAAUUACUGGGCGUAAAGCGUGCGCAGGCGGUUUUGUAAGCCAGAUGUGAAAUCCCCGGGCUUAACCUGGGAAUGGCAUUUGGGACUGCAAGGCUUGAGUGCGGCAGAGGAGACUGGAAUUCCUGGUGUAGCAGUGAAAUGCGUAGAUAUCAGGAGGAACACCGGUGGCGAAGGCGGCCCUCUGGACGGAUACUGACGCUGAGGCGCGAAAGCUAGGGGAGCAAACGGG
rnacentral:rRNA from 1 species